rnacentral:rRNA from 1 species
AUUGAACGCUGGCGGCAUGCCUUACACAUGCAAGUCGAACGGUAACAGGUUAAGCUGACGAGUGGCGAACGGGUGAGUAAUGUAUCGGAACGUGCCCAGUCGUGGGGGAUAACUGCUCGAAAGAGCAGCUAAUACCGCAUACGACCUGAGGGUGAAAGCGGGGGAUCGCAAGACCUCGCGCGAUUGGAGCGGCCGAUAUCAGAUUAGGUAGUUGGUGAGGUAAAGGCUCACCAAGCCGACGAUCUGUAGCUGGUCUGAGAGGACGACCAGCCACACUGGGACUGAGACACGGCCCAGACUCCUACGGGAGGCAGCAGUGGGGAAUUUUGGACAAUGGGCGCAAGCCUGAUCCAGCCAUGCCGCGUGCGGGAAGAAGGCCUUCGGGUUGUAAACCGCUUUUGUCAGGGAAGAAAAGGUUCUGGCUAAUACCUGGGACUCAUGACGGCACCUGAAGAAUAAGCACCGGCUAACUACGUG